rnacentral:sRNA from 1 species
CCCGGAGCCAGGGACUCCAGCAGCCCCCACCCCGGAAUCUUUCACCAUCCACUUCCUGCCGCUCAAUUCUGCUCAGACUCUCCACCACAAGAGCUGCUACAACGGCCGAUUCCAGCUCCUCUAUGUGGCCUGUGGGACCCAGACUCCAGUUUUGCCGCCCCUCCUCCCUCAUUGUCUGGGAUCCCAGAGCCCCAUCCUCCCUCCGGAUUUGGAGCUGAAUCUCAGCCUGUCCUCUGUCCUCUCUGCAGUAUGGUCCAUCUUCUCAUCCCUGAGCUUGGGGCCUGUGUGGCACCCGGAGGGAACUUGAUUGUGGAAUUAGCCCGGUACCUGGUGGACGUGCGGCAGGAGCAGCUGCAGGGAUUCCACACCCGGGUCAGGGAGCUAGCUCAGGCAGCUGGAUUUGCUCCACAGACCGGGGCCAGGCCUUCAGAGACCUUCGCACGUUUCUGCAAGUCCCAGGAAUCAGCUCUAGGCAACACUGUCCCAGCUGUGGAACCCGGAACUCCGCCCCUUGACGUCCUGGCCCAGCCUCUUGAAGCCAGCAGCCCAGCCCUCGAGGGCCUGACCCAGCCUCUGCAGGGCGGGAACCCACACUGUGAGCCCUGCCAGCUGCCCUCUGAGUCUCCAGGUUCACUCUCAGAGGUUCUGGCUCAGCCUCAGGGGGCCUUGGCUCCGCCCAACUGUGAGUCAGACUCCAAAACUGGAGUCUGACCCAACCCCUAGACACCCCUUAUCUCCAACUUCCAAAGUCAGGUUGUAGGAUGAGAACCCGCUGAUACCAUUCUAAGUCCGCUGCUAGAGUCCUCAAUUUUAUUCUAAUCAUUCCCACUCAGUACCCGCCACCCCCACCCCGGGAGUGUUGGUAGACUUUCAAAUUCCAUUUCUGAGAUUCUAUGGUCUAUUCCUAGAAUUCUAGAUUGUUCUCUCAGAAUUCCAAAUUCCACUUCUGAGGCUCUAAGCCCAGCCUAGGAUCUGACACUGAGUCUCAGGCCCUUGACUUUGGCCCCCUUGUUCCCAGGC